rnacentral:rRNA from 1 species
AUGACCGGCGGCGGCAACAAGGAAAAGAAAGAGGAGCCGCCCAAGGCCACAGCCAUAGGUCGGGGCGGCUCCAGCUUGUACGACAAGACGCUGUCGACGGCGUCGAACCUGGCGAGGCUGCUGCCGACGGGCACCACGACAGCGUUCCAGACGCUGGCGCCGUCCUUCACCAACCACGGCGAGUGCCUGCCCGUCAACCGCUACUUCACCUGGGCGCUCAUCUUCUUCCUCGGCGUGCUCUGCGCGCUCAUCUCCUUCACGGACAGCGUCACCGACCGGCACGGUAACACCCGCUACGGCUUCGUCCACCCCUGUGGCUUCACGCCCUUCAACUCCGGCCCUGGCGGCGACGGGACAGUCCCCAUCGACGACAGGGAGAGCAAGAGGCGGCGCAUGCGGGGGCGGGACUGGCUGCACUCCGUGUUCCGCUUCGUCGUCUUCGUCUCGCUCGCCUUCUGCGACUCCGGCGUGCAGAAGUGCCUCGUCCCGCGCGAGAGCCAACAGUGGCGCGAGUUCCUCGUCAACAUGCCGCUCGCAUCGGGCUUCCUCGCCAGCUUCGUCUUCAUGAUCUUCCCCUCCAGCAGGCACGGCAUCGGCGCCGGCCCCGGGGCCCCCGCCGCGCUCGACGACCUCACCGACACCAAUGCCGACGCCGCCGUCAAGAGUGAUCCGUCAAAGAACAGCAAGACUGCUCCCGCGGCCGCAGACACCCGAGUUGCCCCCUCCACCAGCUAUGACUGUGAGCUCCACCAUGCCGUCUAG